rnacentral:rRNA from 1 species
AUUAUUUUAAGCUAUAUAUUAGGAGUAAAUAAAAUUUAUGAAAUUAAAAAAUUUUGGCGGUAUUUUAAGCUUAUUAGAGGAAUUUGCUCUGUGAUGGACACAACGCCUUAAUCUUACUUAAUUUAGUAAUUUAAAUCAGUUUGUAUACCACUAUAUUAAUUAUAUUGAAUAGUUAUAUUUAAAAAUUUUUUAAAAAAAUAUAUUAAGUCAAGGUGCAUCUAAUAAUUAUGAAUGAAGUGAAUUACAUUAAUUUUAAUGUAAUUUUUUACAUGAAAAAAUUAAUUAGGAUUUAAUAGUAAAAUACUAAUAUUAUGAGUAUUUGAAUCAAGCUCUAAAAUAUGCAC